ensembl:snoRNA
AUUAUUUUGUAGUUCAUGAGCAUGAUGAUUGGGUGUUGACACGCUUGUGUGAGAUGUGCCACCCUUGAACUUUGUUAAGAUGCUAGCACAUUACCCGUCUGACC